AAUAUCAAUAGCUUUUUCUUAAUGUGAAUAUAUUAAUUGGAAAGUGGGCAGGUGAGAAGACAAAGAAUCGGACAGAGAUAGAGGUGGGAAGGCGAAACAUCAAGGAGCGGGAAGAGGGUGACGGAGGAAUUGCCACGUGGCAAACUUCAUGAAUAUAUUAAUUGGAAAGUGGGCAGGUGAGAAGACAAAGUAUCGGAUAGAGAUAGGGGUGGGAAGGCGAAACAUCAAGGAGCGGGAAGAGGGUGAAGGAGGAAUUGCCAAGUGGCAAACUCCACGAAUAUAUUAAUUGAAAAGUGGGCAGGUGAGAAGACAAAGUAUCGGACAGAGAUAGGGGUGGGAAGGCGAAACAUCAAGGAGUGGGAAGAGGAUGAAGGAGGAAUUGCCACGUGACAAACUCUAUGAGAAAUAAUGUUUAGAUAGAUAAAUAAAUAGAUGUAUAGAUAUGUAUAGAUGUAUAGAUAUAGAUAUAGAUAUAGAUAUAGAUAUAGAUGUAUAGAUAUAGAUGUAUAGAUAUGAUCUUCCCUGU
rnacentral:lncRNA from 1 species